rnacentral:rRNA from 1 species
CCUACGGGAGGCAGCAGUGGGGAAUAUUGGACAAUGGGGGCAACCCUGAUCCAGCCAUGCCGCGUGUGUGAAGAAGGCCCUCGGGUUGUAAAGCACUUUCAGUGAGGAAGAACGCCUGGUGGUUAAUACCCAUCAGGAAAGACAUCACUCACAGAAGAAGCACCGGCUAACUCCGUGCCAGCAGCCGCGGUAAUACGGAGGGUGCGAGCGUUAAUCGGAAUUACUGGGCGUAAAGCGCGCGUAGGUGGCUUGAUAAGCCGGUUGUGAAAGCCCCGGGCUCAACCUGGGAACGGCAUCCGGAACUGUCAAGCUAUAGUGCAGGAGAGGAAGGUAGAAUUCCCGGUGUAGCGGUGAAAUGCGUAGAGAUCGGGAGGAAUACCAGUGGCGAAGGCGGCCUUCUGGACUGACACUGACACUGAGGUGCGAAAGCGUGGGUAGCACACAGGAUUAGAUACCCGGGUAGUC